UACAGAGGGGGCAAGCGUUGUUCGGAAUUAUUGGGCGUAAAGAGCUCGUAGGCGGUUUGUUGCGUCGGCUGUGAAAUCCCGAGGCUCAACCUCGGGUCUGCAGUCGAUACGAGCAAACUAGAGUGUUGCAGGGGAGACUGGAAUUCCUGGUGUAGCGGUGAAAUGCGCAGAUAUCAGGAGGAACACCAGUGGCGAAGGCGGUGCUCUGGGCCGGAACUGACGCUGAGGAGCGAAAGCGUGGGGAGCAAACAGG
rnacentral:rRNA from 1 species